rnacentral:lncRNA from 1 species
UCAAAUCACAAGAUAGUCUCCCUCUCAUCCCUUCCUAUUAUCUAUAAUAAGUACUAACUAAUCUUGACUAUGGGAAGUGGUAACCAUCAUAUUCAUAUUAACAAAUAGCACCAGUCAAAUGCAAAUGUUCAAUAUAUAUCAGCUUUUCAGUGUUUUAAAAAAUGCUAAAAGAGAUCAGUGAUACUUUCUACCAGUGUUUUAAAAACCGGACCGGACCGGCCGGUCGAACCGGUUGGACCAGGAACCGGAGGUGCAGCGGUUUGGUCU